rnacentral:lncRNA from 1 species
UCUCAGAUGAGCACUCUGCAGGCUACGGUGUCCAAGCUGAAGCUGGAUCUGGAGCAGGAGCUGGAGAGGUGGAGGUAGGGGAUAUGAGAGGCAGCCAAGGCCGAUCAGAGAGGGAGAGAGCUGAGACGAGCUCAGCACAGCACAGGCCUCUCAUAAAGAGUAUAUGGAGCUGCUGGCUGAGUACAGUCGAGAGGUGACGGCCCAGAGGAGUGAGCAGGCCCGUCUGCAGCAGUGCCUGAUCCAGCUGACAGAGGAGAGGGAGACUCAGGAGGAGAGAGUCAAACAGAUGAGCGCAGAUCUACAGAGAGCGCACAGUGAGAGCAGGUGCUCUCAGGAGGAGCUCUGGCUUUUAAAAAUAAUUGCUGUUGGUGCUGCAGCCAUAUCAGAGGAAGGCCAGUAA